ensembl:lncRNA
GGAGAAGGCACUGAAAGAGAUCAGUUUAACUCCAUGAUCCCACCCUCUGAGAACCUCUUCUAGUCUGAAGAACCUCCCUCUGUAGAGGGAUUCUCACCUUGUCAUGCCUGCAGGAAUCCAAGUCAUGUCCCUGAGGGUAAAUUCUCCCUAUAAAAUCUAAUUGUGGGCCAUUUCAUGGCCGCUGCCUUUCUUGGGGUCAGUCUGUCAUGGCAAUCUGCUCAUGGUGUCUUUUCCCUUAUCCUUUCCCAUGUCACAUGGUAUCUUUCUUAAUCCUGCUAUGCUUCUCACAGCUUCUCCUUACAGCUAAUUCUUUUAGGAUGCUAAGUCCCUGUCAGAAUUUAGCCUGGCAACUAAAGGUAUGCCUUAACUUCAUGGGGUGCUCCUUUCCACUGGGUAAUUCUUGCAUAUGCUCUCCAACUCUUUCAUAUUUACCAUUCCCAGUGUCUCUUGUAUCCCUUCAUUUAGUCUGAAACCCCUUCCCCUAAAUAAAUCUACCUCUUGGCAAAGAGAAUAGCCAUUGUGAAUUCUUCACAUGACCACACCCCACUUUUGGUACCUAGCAUCACCUGGUGUCUACAUCACCUAUAUUAUUUUGGUGCUCGAACCACAUCACAGAUAACAAAAUCUAGCUUGCAGAACACACAUGACACAGACAUUCUGCACAGACACAAGGCACAGAAAAAAGUGACAUGAAAGAGGAUUGUCUCAUCUUUGCCAAAACCCAUAAAAUUUCUAUUCCUACAGCACCUUGCCUCCUGUAGCAUGCCAAGGAGGGUGAAAAGGUGAUAAAGGUUCCCUCGUUAGGAGGGAACUAUGCCAAAAAUUGCAAGAAUUCCCAAUGUUGAGGCUCAGAAGGGACCCCAAAAGGUUUGGGGUUUGCAGACCAGUGUUGGGAGGUUUCUCGAAAGGAUUUUCACCCAUACUGAAGUCAAGGGGCAGUGUUUAUUGUAAUUGUAAUGCCAAUUGAAGCAGGUUAAAUUGGAAAAGAAUUUAGCAAGAAGACAAAUGUAUCCAAAUAUUUCCCUUUUUAGCAUCUCUCCUUCUCUCCCACCCCUGCCUUACUCACAGAGAAGGCAAGCAAUCUAUCCCUUACACAUGUGAGACUGUGUAAAACAUAUUUCUACAUUAGUCAUACACCAUAAACAAGGGAGAAAAUUAUGCCAAAAAUAAAUAAUACACUAAAAAAUAGAAGAAGAAACUGAGGCCAGUGAUCUGCAGUGACAUGGAAGGUUAUUGAGCAGCAGGUGUUAGCCCUUGGCUCUCCCAGAGGACCAAGACAUCAGGGAGGUGCUGCCUUGACUCGAAGUGAACUGGAUUUCAGGGAGGGAAAGGCAGGAAAGGUCACCUGCACCCAGUGACGCUGAGUGACACAGUAAGGAGGUAGGACCCUUACUGGCUAUGGGGCCCCCAGCAAGGCGCUUGCUGCCCUGUGCCUCCACUUCCAAAGCUGUAUAUGAGGGCACAGGAAUAGCCUUUGAAGUCCUUUUCAAAAAGCAAAACCAAAAGCAUUUAGGGCAGAAUCUGUCACUGAAAUGGCCAUUAAUCCCCUCUUCCCUCCCCCCUCCCAAAAAGCCCUACAAAGGUCUGCAUGUCAAACGACGGGCUUAAUUAUGUAGCAUCUGAGCACCCAGUUCCAUUUCAGGGAAGGCAUCCUUAGGCCCUAAAGGAAACUGCUUUUAUCCUGCCAGGAAGGAACAGCAAAGAGGAAGAAAGGGGGCUUUUUUUUUAAUUGUUCGGUCAUUUUCAGCCGCGUCUGACCCUUUGAGACCUGAUUUGUGCUUUUGGUUGGGGACGAUGGAGAACUGGGCCGUCAUUUCUUUAUGCGGCUAUUUUACAGGGAGUCCCCUGCGGCGCCGCCGAGCCACGCACCUGGCGGAGACAAAGGUAGGUGGGCCCCUUUAAAACGUGCGGGUGCGUGGGGGGAGGGAGGGAGGAGGAGAGGGGGGAAGAAAGCCCAGUUUUUCUGAGAGUCAACCUACAGCACUGUCUCCUCCCCUCCCCUCCCCCCACCUCCCUGUCAAGUGAGGGGAAGGGGCCUCCCAGCCACAGCAUAUGGGGGCGGGGGCGCAAGGCCCUCCUCUCCUGCACUCCCAGUCCCAAGAGCAAGCCCCACUUGUCAGCUGGUAUGGACGCCGGCCCCGCCCCCGCGGUCCACUUCCUGUUUCCUGUAGCCUGUCCAGGGACAGACGUAAUGGUGGUCGCGGGGAAGUGUCCCUGCCGACUUCCGCUUCCGGUCACAAGAGGCUUCCGCUUUCCCACAUCCUGUUUCCGACUGGCGGCGCUUCCUCUUCCUGCCUGUUGCCAAGGCCUCUUGACAUGUCCUUGCUCCCUUAAGCUCUGGGCCUGGUGCGGACCCUGUUGGCUGCAAAGGUGCGAUGACGGGACUCCGGGGAGCCAGGCCGCAGACAACCGGGGCAGGAAACCUCGCCUGCCAAAGGUGCCUUUGAAAGGGAAAGUGCCCGGCAGCACCGCGGGGAAGGUUCGUGUCCGGGAAUCUGCAGCCCUGAGAGGACAGGUGGCAUUGGACUGCCAGGAAGAGCCCCAGGAAACGGCUGGAGAGCAAAUGGCACCGGGCCAAGGGCUGCGUGAGUCGGGGUCUGUAGGGCAAGAGCAGUGUCGGGGGAGAAGCCGACUUGGAAGGCCAUAGACGCCCAUCUGCCUUCAGCCACUUGUGGGGGGGUGGGGGUGGGGGUCCAAGUCAAGAGUAGUUCUCUUCAAGACGGUGCUUAGCAGCUGCCCAUCCUGCCCAAAUGAGUGAAUUGGCUCCUGUUAAGGAAAUGAACGUGGCACAAGGUGUUUUUAGGGUCGAAAUGCUGCCGAGUUUCUGAUGCUCAGAUGUGUCAGGGACUAGGGAAGGCUUGGGGGGAGGGGAAAGGGAAAGUUCUAAGGGAGAAAGUAUAAUGGAAGUUGAGCAUCUGUGAGGGUAUAUGCUGAGCAUAGGCCUGCUGCAGGUAGCUCCCCAGCAAACUGAUUAUAAAUGUUCAGCGUCAGCAUUUAUGCUCUGGAAAUUAGGAAGUAACACAAAUCAGCUUUGAUUUGUUGUAGGUGAAAAGAGCAAUACAGAUUAAACUGGGAAGUAUGUCCUCUGCACAUUUUUUCCCCUAGAGUACUGGUUGUUCAACCUUUACCAGAACCUCACUGACUAGAUGAAGUGAUCAUUCUUUCCAUACCUCUGUGUUACCAGGUGAUUUUCUUCACUUAUUCUCUUCCCAUCCUUAAUCAAGGACUAAGUUUUGGUAUUUUCCAAUUAAUUACUAAAAUUACAGUAUCUUCCUCAUGAAUUCCUCCCCAUGCUUCUUAAAUAUUCUUAUUUACUAUAUAGAGAAAGAUCUUGUUCCUUAAAGGAUUGCUCAAACCUACGCAUUUACUAGGUUUAACGAAACAUCAGGGGUUCCUGAAUUAUUUGCAAUAAAUCCACUGAGAGAAAGAUCACAACCAAAAUCAUCUGUACCAUCAUUAUAAUUUAGACAUCUGAAUUCUGGCCAUAUAAUCCCAUCAUUCAUUUCUCUUGGGACAUGCAUUAAAGUGUCUUCUCAAGAAUUCUGUGUUUCUUUGCAAGAUAAAGGUUGAACCCAGUUCUCUUUGCCCUUAAAGAUAGGGUAACACUAGCUUGAAAUCUCUGUUUGGGGCUUGAGCCCCAGACAGGCCUUGUGUUGCAGGAUUAGUGAGAAGGAAAUGAACAGAGUCAUAAAGGCCUGGCUUGGCCAGUACCCAUUUACUUUGGAGUUUUACUUGUCUCUCCCAGUUACAACACUGCCUGGCACAAAGUUGGGGAAGCGGUUCCAGGGGUGAGGGGAUUAGUGGAUUGAUUGGGUUGCCUCUAACACUUAUUAGCUUGUGGCUGCAAGCAAGUUGCUUAACUUCAUUUUGCUUCAGUUUUCUCCACUGUAAACUGGGGAUAAGAACAGAAUAGCACCUACAUCCUAGGAUUGUUAUCAGGAUCAAAUGAGACAUUUUAAAAAUAUUUAGCACAGUGCCUGGCACAUGGUAGGUGCUUUAUGCAUAGACAUAUACCAGUGUUUAAUAAAUGUUACUAUCUGUGGCAGGGGCUGUUGAAGAUGAUGCUGCAAAAGAAAUUGAAAAAGAUCCUUACUUUAUCAACUUAAGUUGAUGAGCUUUGUUAUGGAUAUUUACACUUUUUUUCACUAGUUUUUCCCUCCUAACAGGUAAGUAAGUAGUAGAUGUUUCAUGGUUUGUUUGAAAAGGUAAGUCUCCAGCUCCCACUGGUAGCCAUGGCAUUGCCCGAGCCUGUGGUGAGGCAGUUAGCAGCAGUGCAGCUUAUGAACAAUUAUCCUUGAUUUCUCCACACACAGGAACCUUCCCUGCAACUUAGAAGGAAUUAGUCUGCUGUUUCAUGAAGACUGACCAUCAUUGCUAGUGGAGUAGGUGUGGGCUUAGCAGCUGCCUUCUGAGUGGUUAUGAUUGAGAGAGCAGACAGUGAGUAGCAUUGAAUGUGUGAACAGAGCAGUUGGGUGGCUGUGUGAGUCCAAGUAUGUGUAUGCUUUGUGGAGUCGUACACAGGAGAGUGUGAGUUGUGCUGUUUGCAUGUUGGAGACUUCAGGUAGGAUCUUGGAAGGGUUCUGUAAUGUGUAUAGGGCUUAACUUCCAGUAAAGACUUCAAAAGAAAACCCUAAGCUUCCAAACUUUAAAGUUUGAAGUCUUGGGGCUUCAGCCCUAGGCAGGGGUUAUGUACUAGGUCAGGAGUGUGCAAUGUCAUGUACUCCAAGACUAGGCUUGGCCAAGCCCUAUUUCAUUUAUAUGUGUAUGUGUCUGCCUUGGUUACAGUGUAAGGUCUUUGGGAGCAUGAUCUGGUUCCUUUUCUUGUGUUUAUAACCUAUCAAUUAGCACAGUGUCUAGCACAUGGUCCGUGCUUAAUAAAUGUUUGUUGAUUAUGAUCACCCAUGGUCCAUAAUUGUAAUAGCUGGAACCUCACAGUUGGAAGAGACCUGGAAACUAGCGACUGGUGCAGAAAUGAGAAUCCCCAGUACCAUAUCCCUGUCUAGGGGUCAGUAGAGCAGGGCAGGCAUUCUUAUCCUCAUUUGACAGAUGAUGGACCUAGGGCCCAGCAAUAGAAAGUAACUAGCUUAAUGUCACCCAGCUAGAUGGUAGCAAAACUGCGAUAAUAAGCCAGGUGUCCAGGUGGAAUACUCUGUGCAUAAGCACUGAUGUUGCUGGAGGAGAGCAGAUGAUCCAGAAGCCCAUUGCAGUGUUGCAGGCAAGAGGAGAUGGGCAAGGUGACCCUGCAGCCCACAGAUGAUGCCCAUGUGAGUGGAGAGAAAGGGAAGUGUGUGAGAGAUGUUAGGGAGGCAGGGGCAGCUACUUGGAUAACUGGAAAGAUGUCAGCAGCAGCUGGGAUGACCAUGAUAUCAGGGAGCUGAUGACAUUUGUGAGGAAAGAUAUCAGUAAGAUAGGUGAUGGAUCUUCCACAACCCCCCAUCAGUGCCCCUCUAACAAGGAGGGGGGCAAGAUUCUUAAUUGUCACCACAGGGAAAAGGUCAUACUGGGAGGGAAAGGAAAGCUCUUCCCUAUAGUAACUGUCUACCUGCUGCUGUUGGUCACCUGAAGUGGUUUGGUUGUCACUGACCUGAAGCCUUGCUUCUCUGGGGCUGGUUAAAAGGUUACACAGGGGAGGGAGGGUUGUUGCCUUUAAUGGGACAUUUGGGGGUUUUUUGAUAGCUAUUGGGGCAGUGUGCAGGUUGAUCAUACUGCCCUUGAGAUCAAGACAGAGAUCUAUUCUGGGAUAGAGAGAGAAACAGACAAAUUGUGAAAUGGUUGUGGUUAAAACUGGCGCUAGUGAUAGGUGGUCUUGGUACCCCGCUGAUCAACAUACUUUCAGGGGCCUGCUCCUCUUCAGAGCUUAGGCCGGAAUCACCAAACAGAACCAAAAUCUUCUGUAUUGACUUUCAUUUUGGGAUUCAAACCAUCUGUUUCCUUAUCUAAAGUCUAGAAGUAAAAUGGCACAUUUUUCAUAGCUUUCUUCCCAGUUCCCCUGAGACACUAGAAGGGGUCAUUAAAACAGGUACCAAAAGAAAGAUCUCUCCCUCUCCCCUCUCUUUAGAAAUACCUGAUGCGAGUGGUAUUGGGAAGAGAUUUCCAGAGAACCCCAUUGAAGAGAAUGGAGAGGGACUAGAGAAAGCCUCCCCAAGCAGUGAAAGCCUCCCCAGGCAGUGAAAGCCUCCUGGUUUGUGGUGGGGGCAGCUGCAAGUGCUGUGGGUCGAGCAGCUCCUAGAACUUGCAGGUCGUACACUUAGGGCAAAGUUCUGGGAAAGAGCUAACAAAGCUCCCAUCAGCCUUUUCUCUUUUUUCAAAACAAAUCAGAGCAUUAACUUUUGUGUUUUUUAAAAACAGCCUUAUACCUCACUAGCCCUUCUUCUGGACCCCUUGUUCCUCUCUGUACUUUAUUCCAUCCAGAGGAAUGGAAAAGGUCUGAAAUACAUUUGGAGGUUUGAGUGGACUGGAAUGUCCCCAUGAAGCAGCAGCAACCCUGUGACAAACACCCUGUUGUGAUUGUGUUCUGCAUUGAGGUUUGUGGUUUCCAGGAAUAGGAAGGUGAGAGUAGCCAGGGCUCUUCCCUGCUCAGGUGUCAUCUGGAGUAUUGAAUUACAAAUAUCUGGAAUGGAUCCAGGAUAGAAUCUGGCCUGGACAUCCUGUUAAAACAGUCAGGGAUGUUUUGCCUGAAAGGGGGGAGACUUAUUAGGGGGCAACCACAUGGCGUUAGACACUGAACAACUAUGUGUCCUUAAAUAAGUCACAUGGAGCCUAGAGUUGCCUAAAGGGAAGUCACAGAUCCCUUACCCUCAUCCCGGCUCUCCUGUAUGUAGUCUCUUUCAGCAAGACAGUGUUAGUUCCUUGAGAGGACAGUCUUGCUUGCUAGUAUUUCACUACUAUCUGGCACAUAGUAAGCAACAAAUGUGUUCUUUCCCCUUCCCCUGUGAUGUUUAUUCUUCCUUUAUCCCCAAGUCCAAAAGGUUAGCGAGGCUUAUCUUUAUUCUCCACAACACUACUUGGAGCCAUCCCCUUUUCUGCACUUACACAUCUGGGUUAUCACAAUAGCCUCCUGAUUAAGCUUCCUAACUCAAGUCUUUGUCUUCCUCAUGUGUCCUCUACUUAGAUGGCAAAAGGACAUUCCCAAAGCACUGGUCAAUAAACCCUCUCAUUAAACAACAUUUUAAAUUAGGAUUAAAUACAAACUAUUUUCUUGUCAUUUCAAGCCCCUCAUACUGUAGCUAGGACCUCCCUUGCUAGCUGACUUAUAUGUAAGUCCCUUCACCUUCUGUCUGGUCCAGACAAGUGCAGAUUCUUAAUGCUCUUCCCCCAUGAUGCAUUUUGACACUAUUUGCUUGCCUUUGAAAAGUGUGAACACCCCAUGCCCAGAAGGUAUUCCAUCCUCACUUCUGUGCCUUACAAUCACAGCAUUACUCCAUAUCUCAGCCUAAAUCCCAAAUCCCACAUGAAGCAGGUCCAGGUAUUCCUGUGGUAUUAGUGUGACAUCACUCAGUUCUACCCUCUCUCUUGUUCUAAUUACUUGGUAUGUUCUUCAUAAUUUUUACCUGGUGUGGUCAGAAGUGGCAAAUUCUCCACCCAUUUGAGGUAAGCACCCAGUUUAUUCUUGCUGUAGAGUCCAUACCUAGAGCAUGGGGAGGAGCACACAUGUCCCUAAUGGAUCGGCCCUGAACAUGUGUUUCUCGCCAGUGAACUUUUGCUGACUUCUUGUGACCAAAGUGGAUGCUGCAUUUUGCUGGUAUUCCAGUUAAAAGGGGAAGAAUCCAGGCUUAUUUUAACAUAGACUUCGAGAUAACUAUGUAGUCUUCCUCCAACAUCUCAUGACCAGCUUUUAUGACCUAUGAUCCCAUUCCCACUCAAACCACAUUCUACUUUGGUUGCAUUUUGGAUAAUCAGAAAGUUGGUUUCAGGGAAUGUAGUAGUCAUGGACUCCAUUUUAAUCUACAAAUGAGAAAUCAUUUUAAUUGCCUGGUUUGGCAAUUUUAGCUCUACAAUGUUCAUUGCAUCCUUCAGUGUUCUCCCAGUUAUUUGGAGGCUCAAGCAAAUUGGCCUUUUACCUCCACUUCCUUCACCGUGCUUCAUUUCUCUUCCUUUGUAAACCUGUGAGUUCCCUCCAUCUGUGCCCUGAAUGCAUUUUAUUCUCAGCUGUGCCUGUCAGGAGCCCUAAUUGUCCUACAAAGAUCAGCUCAAAUGCCACCUGACUCCUAAGUAAGAUGCUGGUUCUCUGAACCCCUUCCAGUGACCCUCUUGCCAAAGCAUCCAACUGAAGUAUGGCCAUCGAAUCCACAAUUAGAAGAAAACGUGGCUCUGUUACCUUAUGAUCGAUUAGCUAGUAGAGAUAUUCUUAUCUUGGGGGAGACAGUGACUUGUGCUCCCUUGGGUCCUUUACCUCCCUAAGGAAAAUGGGAAUGUUCGGGGUUCCAUCUCUUACUUUUCUCAGGUAACAGCUGUGACAGCAGCUCAGUACUGGGGUGCUGCUGUUCCACUUCAUGCCUGUGGCCCACAUUGGAGAAGACCUGGAACUCAGGAGUACCUGACUCACCAUGGCCAUUGUUGGCAGUGGCUGUUGCGUCUUUGUAGAUCUGAUCAUAUGACAAGGGUGCAGUACCCAGCUGCUGCUCAGUCUUCGCAGUGUCAUUUUUCCUGCCUUUUCAGGAAAUUCACAGUGCCCAUCUGUAAGUCUGCACAAUUUUUACACCCCUGAGAAGGAGGAACUCGGUAGGCUGUUCUCCUUUGUGUCCUGCACAGUACUGGAGACCAAAUUAGCCUAGUGGUCUUCUACUUGGCCCCCUUCAAACCUAACAGCUGGUCUUGCCUCUGAGGGAUUUUUGGCAGUUUCCUCCCCUUCCCCCUGUCUGUUGGACAGUCCCAUCACUUCAUCUGGCUCUGGGGCCUUCCAUUGUUCCGGGAAAGCUCUUGCCCAUCCAGCCCAAGUCCCCCCAGUUUGUUCUAGGGGAUAUGGUUACUCUCCAGAGAAAAUGCCAAUUUUGGCCCCAUGGACUCUUUAUCCCAGAGAGGGUAAGGCCACUGCCUUCCUUACUCAUAGAUGAAGUUGUAUUCUUGUGCUCAAUUGUAACAGUCUCUCUGUAGGAAUGCCUCUCGAUUAGAAGAGCUCCCACUUCUUUAAGCUGCUCUUCCUCCUCAGAGGGUGGACAAGUCCAAAAUUCCCAGGAAUAAUUUCUUACUCUCAGUUCCUCAGCCAUGUCUCCAUGGAGAGAAAGGCAGCGUUGGAAACAGUCCCUGAUUUAUCUCAUAUGCCUUAAUUUUUUUUUUUAACUCUUCUUCCUUUACUUUUUCUGCCUAAUAUCCUCAAAUGUCCUCCUCCUUAAUGUCUGUUCCUGGUAUUCGAAGACUUCUGCUUUUCAGCCACAAAAACAACAUGAUACCUCUUGAUUUCCUUGGCUCUCAUCUAUUCUAAGGAUUACUCCAUAUGUGUCUACAUGAUCACACAGAUAUUAAUACAAUGAAUAAACGUCCAGUGUUGUGUCACCAGUGGUCUAUUGGAAUGUUGAAUGAGCUUAGAUAGAGUCAUAAUCUCAUAUAUGACUUGUAUGAGGAAACAAACCUAUUUAAACAGACUCAGUUUAACUAAGUAAGGUCCUAGCUUAAACUAAGUUUAGAGCAUUCUUGUUGGGCUGAUUGAAAAGGGAUACAUAACCAAUAAUUGACAUUAAAUGAAACCUCCCACAAGUGAAAUUACUUGAAAGCCUCUGAGCAGUAUUUGAGAUAUGAAGUAAAUUUCCACUUUGGAUGGGAGAGGUUUGAAUCAGUUAGGUAAUAUCCUAAAUAGGAGCCACAGUCCCGCCCUCCUGGCAGUUGAUAAAAAUUAAUAAAAGGAUAUCAAAUAUAAGACAUUCUCACAAUCUUCCAUUUUGAUCAUAGGUCUUCAGUGGCCCUUUUUGAUCACACAUUUAAAAAUUGGUAUGUCCACAUUAAAAUUUGGGCAACACCUCUGCAGGAGUAAUCCAAUAAUGAUCAACAUACAUUCUCUUUAACCCCGCUUGUUCCUGAUAAACUCACUCCAAAUGCCCAUUUAUUCAGCUUAUUUCACCUUGAGUCUUACCUGUCCCAUGUAGAUGUCUGAUCCUGGGAAACAUUUUCCAUUGGAGAUUCUGGAAUAGGUGUCAAUCCCAGGGCAGUUCUGGAGAGAAUUUGCUUCUAAUACAACUGUUUCCUUUGUUCCACUUGGAGAGGUUGCCUAGGUAAGGCAGAUAAAAUGUGAAAGUGAUAAGACAAUACAAUGUAGACCCACCUCUCAAAUAUGGUCUUCCAGUACCUAGUUUAUGUUGAAAAGCCAGUUUGACUCUUAUUGGACCUAACCUUAUUACCAACAGGGAAAUAUAUGAAAAACAUCCAGUUGAGAAGCCGUAAUUCAUCUGAAAAUAAGGAGAAUUUCAGUUUUUACAGAUAGGUAGUUAUCCUUAGACUGAAGGAAGAAUUUUUAAAAGUAUCCAUGAGAGCCUGAUAUAAAAUAAGCCAUACAGUCUCUUAGUAUGAUCAGAUAAAUGCUUCAGAGCAAGAAAAGAAAAAAAAAACAUUAUUUUAAAUUUUGUUACAAUUAUUGACACAAUUUUAUUUGUAAGGUCUUUAAUUGAGUUUUGAGGACUUAUUACUAGGGAAAAAAUUUAAAAACAGAAAUAUUUCAUCUUUGUAAAUGGAAUUGAACCUAGAGUGUUUAGUUUUUUGUGCUGUUUUUACGAUCUUGUUCUUAGUUAUUUUUAGGCUCAAAAUGGAAAAAAAAAUUCAGGAAUAUAAUGUUUAUUUGACGGUUUGUCUUUGUUCUUUUUUUUUUUAAUAGCCUUUUAUUUACAGGAUAUAUGCAUGGGUAACUUUACAGCAUUAACAAUUGCCAAACCUCUUGUUCCAAUUUUUCACCUCUUACCCCCCCCACCCCCUCCCCUAGAUGGCAGGAUGACCAGUAGAUGUUAAAUAUAUUAAAAUAUAAAUUAGAUACACAAUAAGUAUACAUGACCAAAACAUUAUUUUGCUGUACAAAAAGAAUCAGACUCUGAAAUAUUGUACAAUUAGCUUGUGAAGGAAAUCAAAAAUGCAGGUGGGCAUAAAUAUAGGGAUUGGGAAUUCAAUGUAAUGGUUUUUAGUCAUCUCCCAGAGUUCUUUCUCUGGGCGUAGCUGGUUCAGUUCAUUACUGCUCCAUUGGAAAUGAUUUGGUUUGAUCUCGUUGCUGAGGAUGGCCAGGUCCAUCAGAACUGGUCAUCAUAUAGUAUUGUUGUUGAAGUAUAUAAUGAUCUCCUGGUCCUGCUCAUUUCACUCAGCAUCAGUUUGUGUAAGUCUCUCCAGGCCUUUCCGAAAUCAUCCUGUUGGUCAUUUCUUACAGAACAGUAAUAUUCCAUAAUAUUCAUAUACCACAAUUUAUUCAGCCAUUCUCCAACUGAUGGACAUCCAGUCUUUGUUCUUAAUAGAAACAUUUUGAAACUAAUUAUGUUCAUGUGUAUACAUAUAUAUACCACGUAUAUGUACCUUCUGAUUCUUAGAGAAAAGUCCAAUUUCAUUGCUUAUUUCAAAGUAAAGUUUACUAUUCCAGUAAACCUUUAUAUCUUUUUCAUACCUACAUUUUUGUUCUAUCCAUUUUUUGAAAAUAUAUAUGUAUGUCUGUAUGUACAGACACACAUAUGUAUUUCAUAACAUCAUCUAGAAAAGAGGUAGUACGAUGGAGACAACGGUAAUCCACAUAAAUGCAUAAUUUUUGCAAGGGGAUAGAAUUCAAGCCUUAGAAUUUCUCUACUUGUUUAAUUUAGUUAGUUGAAACAAAUAGUGACCAUAAAUGGAAAUAGACUUUGGAAUAGAAAAAUGAAAAACAUUAAGCUCUUUCAUACAAGUAUAGCAUUAUAUAUGACCAUUAUAACAAGUAAAAUAUGUUUUGAGUAUUAUAACAACAGGAUUUAUCCUAUUUAAACAAACAAAAAACACAUUUCACUUGCCCACAUUUUCAAAAUUUGCUUCUAAAGAAAGGAGGACAUGGUUUCAAAACAAAGCUGUAAGUCUCCUUACUUCUCUUUAAACUAUUUUUUACUCUUGAAUUUCGCAACUUGCUUUUAGGAAGACUAAUAAAAUUUGAUGAUCUUACCCAAAUAGAAGAACCUGGUAAGUCCCCAACAAAUAACACAGUUAAAAGAUCAAAGGCAGGUAAUAUUUUCUUUCCAAAAUACUUAUUACUGUUACUUAUUUUAAAACAAAGUAUAUCUACUUAAGUACUUGAUAGUUUUUAAACAUAUUGACCUUCUAUAUUAGAUUAACUUGUACUUUAAUGGUAUCCAGAUUAAAAGAGGAGUUAGUUUUCUAAGGAUACAAUUAUAUUGCUCUCUAGUUGUCAUUCUUUUGAAUUCACUGUAUUUUCUUAUACAUUCAUUUCCCAAAAUCACAAAUAAGACAAGUUGGAAACCUAACAGUGUAUGCAAGAGAAUGAAUUAUAGAACAUAAAACAAAACUUACUGUUAGAUAAAAUAAUGUCAAUUCAGUUGAAUGCAUAAAUCAUCUUACAUGACAAAUCCCUUCAUCAGUUUGGCAUUCUAUACUAAUUUUGUUCAGUUACCCUAUUUGAAGUAUUUGGAAGAAAAUAGAAUUUUAAUUCUUACUGAUGCAGGUUAUAAGCACAUCACCUUAAUGCCAAAGAAUAAGUGUUUUUUACAUGAAGAUCUGAUCUACCACUAGACCAAACAUCACAAUUAUCUUAAACAGAAGAACACAUCUCACUUUAAAUGAGAACAUGUUUUAAUUUAGUUUUUGGACACAACAGUCAAAUCAGGAUUCACAGUUUCAAAUGGUGUCAUUUAAAACCUCAAUUUUCCCAAGACCUGCAGCUUGUUCCUCGUAUUAUAGAGCUCACUACUUUCAGUUACUUUUACUUCCAGAGAUUUAUGGUGGCACCCUCACAUUUUCAACUUUUCUUUGGGGGCUUGUGACAUGGAAACGGCAAACAUCAUACUAGGAAUGAGUGUCCCACAAAUAAAAGUUGGAACAUAGCUCUGUAAUGGUCUUUCAAGGAUAGAAUUUUAAUAUGCUGUACUCAAAUAUUUCCAUCAUCCAAAUUUAUGUCUCUAGUUUCCAUUUAGUUAGUGUUGUAUGUAACUUGAUAGAAUCUUGUCUAUCUUAAAUUGUUAGGAGAUAUUUCUCCCACUGGUACCCACAGAUUUAACAGGUAUAGGAAAUUUCUCAUAGCCUUCUCAUCUCAGUGAGAUCAAAAAUCUCCAGAAAUCUAACCCUUACUUCACAUUAACCUUCAAAUGGAGGUUAUCAGUCUAUAUGGACUUCCAUUCUCCUGUUAUCUCUAUUUGCUUAAACCUUGUUUUUCAGUUAUUUGAUUUGUGAGAUUCUUUGUGAUCUCAUGGACCAUGCUGUCCAUGGUUUUCUUGACAUGCUUUCCCAUUUCCUUCUCCCGUGUGUUAAGGUGAACACUGGCUAAGUGGUCACUUAUCAGGAUCACACAGCUUAUAAGUGCCUGGAGCUGGGUUUGAAAUCAGAUCUUUCUGACUCUAGGCACAGAGUUAUAUUCACCAAGUCAUCUAACUGCCUUUUGAUUAAAGGCCUACAGACUUCAAAACCACUCUUCUUUCCUUGUAAUUGAAACAUUCACUUACCUUUGCUUCUUACUUUUAAUUCCAUCUCAUCUUUAUUUUCCAAUCAUAUCCCAGUAUUGUACUCCACUGAAUCUCCUGUACAGAUUUCUUGGUUAGUUUACCAGACUGCAUUUACAUUUUGAGUUGCAAUUCAUUUCAGUUUCUUUUAGGUUACUGCCUUUAAUUUGCCCUAAACAAUUAAGUUCUGUUAAAAAUGAUUUAGAGAAAAAAAAUAUAUUGAUACAAUAAAAGACCCUCCUAAGAUUCGAAUUUCACCUAAUAAGGCAUAAAAUUGAAGGCUGCAAACCCGUUUUAUUUCCUUAUCUUGAAGGCUUUUUUAGCAUUUUCUGGGCCCCAGCUUCUUAAACUUUGGGUAAUGAUCCCCUAUGGGAUCACAUACCUGAAUGUAGGGGUCAUGAAAUUAUGAUUUAUGGUUGCUAAAUGUUCUGUGAAACGUUCUUGGGUGUAAAAGGGGUCAUGAGUAAAAAAAGUUUAAGAAGCUCUCUUCCAUGCAGUGAAAUCAGGUUCUAAAAUUGGGACUCUACCACCCUCUAAGAGAAGGAGUUGGUUUUAUUUUUCCAAAUACAUGUGAAGAUAGUUUUUCAACAUUUAUUUUUGUAAUACUUUGUGUUCCAAUUUUUCUCCCUCACCCCACGGCAAGCAAUGUGAUAUAGGUUAAAUAUGUGUAAUCCUUUUAAACAUCUUUCCAUAUUUGUCAUGCUGUGCAAGAAAAAUCAGAAAAAAGGAGAAACCCACAAGAAAGAAAAGCAAAGAAAUAAAAAAAGUGAAAAUAUAAGUAAUUUGAUUCACAUUCAGUUUUCAUAGUUCUUUCUCUGAAUGCAGAUGUCAUUUUCCAUCCCAAUUGGAUUAUCUUGAAUCACCUAAUUGCUGAGAGGAGCCAAAUUCAUCACAGUUGAUCAUUAUAUAAUCUUGCUGAUACUGUGUACAGUGUUACCCUGGUUCUCACUUCCUUCAAAAUCCGUUCGAGCAAGUCUUUCUAGGCUUUUCUGAAAUCUGCCUGCUCCUCAUUUCUUAUAGAACAAAAAUAUUCCAAUGCCAUAAUUUAUUCAGCCAUUCCUGAACGAAUGGGCAUCCAGAGUUAUUUUAACUAUUAAAUGUUGUAACCUUAGUUGUAGGGGAUUCAAGAUAGUUUCUCUCCUUCCUACCCUUCCCACUCCCACAUUACAUUUAUCUAUUUGACAAUUUACAAAAAUAUCUCUUCUUUGAGAUAUUUGGAAAUUUGUAGCAAAGGUAUUUUAGUUACGAAUUUAGUCUUUAGUGUAUAAUGCCAUAAACUCUUACUUCUUUCUUGUCUUCAUCUCUGCAAUCUCAACAUGGCCAGGCCUGAGAAUAUCCUGGGGAAAUUUAUCUUAAAGUUUUUCCUGCUUAUUCUGAAUCUUAGCUCUCACUUAAAGUGAUCAAAGAGUCAGUGGAAAUAAGUCCACCCUUAAUUGAGAAGGAGUGUUUAACAUCAGAAUUUUAGUUUGAUACAGAUAGCAGAGAGAGCUAUUUUAGCUGUGAAAUUUCAUUAACUUAAGCAAUAGUGUUGAAUCAUCCUAACUUCCUGUUCAUCCUAGAAUAAAGGGGUUUCAUGUUUGAAGUCCCUCAAAGCACUUGAAAGGAUGCUAAUAGAUGUGAGGGAAGGUGACAUUUCCAAUGUCCUUUCUGCUUGCAAUGCAGAUUUAGGUCACUAGAAUAGGAGUAUUUAUAUGGUGAUUCAGGAAGGCCUAGGCUUUUCCUCAGCCUCUCCUGGGAUUCUGAAAAUUGGGGUGAUUACAGUCAUUACUUUAUCUGCCCAAGCCAGAUGUUAUAGCUGAGGAAGAUACUACCUUGAGCUGCGCUAUUUGUUGAGAUUCUUGCUCAACUCAUUUUUUUUUUUUUUUGUUUUAUUCUGUUAUGAGACCUAGGUCAUGAGCAACACAAUUUUAAGUAUUUUAAUUCCUCCCUCCCCACUCAUACGCCCCAACCCCAGUCUGUUAAAUAACAAUCUGGGAUAUUAUCUGCACCUUUAUUGAUAAACAACAAGGGUAUUAAUUUGAUCACUGCAGGAUCUGUUGGAUCCUCAAUCCCUUCACACUGUCUCCCAGUGUUUUUAGUCUAUCCUGUCAUUUUUAUAGGGUGUGCAUUUGCAUCUUGACUAAAGUCCCUUCACUUGAUUCCAAUUAUCUCUAACUGCUUUUCUGGGAAGAAUUGAGGGACUGUUUUGGGAGUCAGUGCUGAGACCCUAGCACCUUGCUUGUCAUAAAUAGGUGGGACUUUCUAUUAUCAAAGGCCAGGAAGACUUGUCUGUAGAGUAGGUUUCAAAGCCAAUUGUUGGGAAACCUAUUUUUUCAGUUUUAGGGCAGAAGUUUUUAUUAUUGUGCUCUACCCAAUUACACCAAUAAGCCAUUUGGAAGAGGUAUUGAUUUUCUAUAGACCAUCUUAACCUGGCCAAGAUGUUCAGAAUCAAAGGAUCUUUCAGAUCCCCUGAAGUUAAUCUUGUCCAAAGGUUCAGAAAGAUUUUUAAACUGGACCUUUAGAUAAUUUGGGGUUCCUUGAAGGGAAACUUUUCUAAAUUGGUUAGAAGAUGAUUCAUAGAGGACCAACUGAUUAGGUCUCAUAUUUAGAUUAUUAUUUUUUUAAUCGGAUGUUUCAACCAUAAUCUGAGUGACCACAAAGAAAACUGAUUUUGUGACCAAAUUUCUCUAUGAAAUCAAAAUCGCUGAAAUUUGUUCACUGAACUUCUCAAAAUAAAUUUUUAUCUUAGUCCAGAGUUUUAUUUUGAUGACGGUAACAGCACUGUAAAAUAGAUCAUUAAGACAGUCAACAAGAAAGAAUAAAACCCUCAGAUAAUUUCUGACCUAUCCUCAAUAUGAUACUGAGGAAUAUACCAAAGAUGUAUUUUUUUCAACCGGGACUACCCAUUGAUCAGUUUUAACCAGACCAACUUGGGGCUUCUAAUUUAACCACUGCAGUGUUUAAUCAGACCAAAGGCCCUGAGAAAUUUCCAACAUCUGACCUAUUCUCAGUAGUCAUUUAGACCAUUCCAAAUUAUCACUUUAUGUCACUCAGCGAACUUAUCUUUAUUUCCAAGCGAUCAAUCUCCAUCCAGUGGUCAAUUCUGACCAUUAAAUAAUCAGACUAGGUCUCAGAGACAAUGGCCACAACAUGCAGACAAGUCUCUUGGGUUAUAUACCGGCAAAAGUAAGGAGAUAAAUUGGACAAAUUUUGACAGAGAACAAAACCCAAACCCCAGAUAACUUAGAAAAAAAGUCAAUUUGUCCAGCAGAGGAGGAGAGUGGAGGGAAAAACUGUCCAAAUAUCUCUAAGUAGUACAUUAUAUAGGGUUCCAGCAAGGGAACAAUGAAACAGUCUUUCCUUGGCCAGCACAGAGUCAUUUUCAAAUAAUUCAUGUGAGUUGCUUGAGAUGUAUAAUGAAAGGAAACAUCUCACAUUCCUCAUAUCAAUCUUGGGUUUUGACUAGAUUUCAGGUCAGCAUAACAAGGUCCGAGUUAAACAUUUAAUCUGGUCUCUAAGCAAUAAGUAUGAUUUCUUGGCCAUACAGGACUGGGUUCAAACAGUGCAAAAAUUUUCUCACAAUACACAAAAGCCAAAGAAGACACUCUUCCCUUUCUGUGAUUUUGGAAAGCAGUCUGCUUUUCUGCUCUGAAAUUUCCAAGGUAAGGAUAACCUUAAUAGAAUUUCUGAAGUAAAAGCCCUGGUUUUUCCAAGGUUACUGCCUCUCUGUUUGUGGAUCACCAAAUUUGUAAUGGGAAAAAUCUCUCCUUUUUGAAUUGAUGUGGCAGGUAACUGUUGCUGAGAUAAGUGUACUCUGAAACAGAAAUUAUGGGAGUAAACUUUUGCUUUAGCACAGGUUCAGGAGGUAGAAAAAUGAUCCUGAACCCCAAAUAAAGAUUCAAAAAAUCUUGUAUAGAGAAAAUUUUAUCAAAAAUGAACAAAUAAAUUCACUUACAUAUUGCAAUUUUGUACAUUCGUUAAGACCAGUUUAAAAAGACAUAUUCACAAUUCCAUGCUUUUGUUAGUGUAAUAGAUGUUGAACAGGCUUAGCAAAUGAGAAACAUGAUCAUACAGGAAAAAAAGGCAAUAGAUAAACUAAGUGAGGUCACAGCUCAAGCAACAUUUAAGGGUUCACAAUGGGCUCAACAAGACGGGACAUUUUCUUUGAAAGCCAUGACACUUUUUGGCUUCUAAUCCUCCAAAGAAUAAAAUUAAUAAAAGGAAAUAAAAUUUUAAAAAUAUCAAAAAGCCAAGUCAGGAUAAGCUUGUUAUGCCUCAUAAAACUAAAAAAAAAAAUUUAACUGCAUUAAAAGAAGUCUAGGAUAUCAUCCAGAAGAAAAAAAUCUGCCUCUGGGGGAAAAAUAUUGCUUCUUAUGACCAGAAAAAAAAAAAAAGCUGAAAAGUAUUUUCCAGAAUGGGAAGACAAAAUUGCCUUUUCUGAAGCAAAUCUGAUCAUAGAAACUGUAAGUCUGGGAAAUUUCCUGAAUCACCCCCCAUUCAGUGACAAAUGGCUAGAUAAACAUUGAGACAAGAAAAGCUGGCCUUAGAAUUCACCAUCAGAAAAAAUUCAGUCUGGAAGAUAAACAUCCUCUCUCCACUUUUUUCCAGGAAAAUAAUGCUAACUAACAAACAUAAAUUUGAAAUCAUGCCAUUUGCAGAAAACAAUUCCUUUUAAACUUUUUCUAAGGCAUGAAGAAUAUGUAGACAAAUCUUUAAAAAAAAAAAAAAAGCAUUAUGGUAUCCAACCAGUGAAUAAGCAUUAACCUUCUAUGGGGUUUCAGGUACUCUGUAAAAGCAACGGGGUUCCAAAAAGAGGCAUGAGUCUUUGCUCUGAAGGCGCUGGUAACCUAAGGAGAGAGACAACCUGCAAAGAAUACAUAUUACAAAGCAAACUAUGUAGAAUAAUUAGGAAAAAAAUAGAAGAUAGGAACUAUUGCAGUUAAAAGGGGAUAGGGAAGACUUUCUCCAAAACGUGGUAUUUAAGAGAAGCAUGGGAAGUCAGGAGUGCAAGUGGAGGAGGGAGAGCAUUCCAGGCUCGGGGACAGCAGAGAAAAAGCCCAGAGCCAAAAGAUGGAACAUAUUAUUCCUGAAACAGCCAGAUGGCCAGUAUCACUUGAUGGAAGAGGAUGUGGUGAGGAGUCAGAUAUGAGAAGACUGGAAAGGUAAGGGCAGCUAGGUUAUGAAGUUUUGAAUUCCAAACAGCAUUUUGUAUUUGAUCCUGGAGGCAAUAGGAAGCCAGUGGAGUUUAUUGAAUAGCAGUAAAGGACCUAGUGACUCUCAGUAGGACAAAUUGGAGUAGAGACAGACUCGAGACUCUCAGGCUAUUGCAAUAAUGAAGGCAGGAGAUGGUGAGGGUCUGCACCAAGAAAAUGGCAGUGUCAGAGAAGAAAAAGUGUUGUUUUAGAGAGAUGUAGCCAGGCUGAAAGAAACAAGUUUUGACCACAUCUUGGAUGUGGAGGGUGAGUGGUAGUGAGGAAUUGAGAAUAACUCUUAUAUUGAAAGUCUGGGGAACUGGGAAGAUGGUAUUUCCUUCUCCAGGUACAGGGAAGGUAGAAGAAGGAGAGGGUUUAGGAGGAAAGAUGGAUAUCUGCUUUGGAUAUGUUGAAUUUAAGAUGUCUACUGAAUAUCUAGUUUGAGACAUCUGGAAGGUAGUUGGAAAUGUGAGAGUUGAGAUCAAUAGAGAGGUUGGGGCAGGAAAGAUAGUUUUGAGAGUCAUCACUAUAGAGAUGAUGACAUCUGCAAGUGAAAUAGUACAGAGGAAGAAGGGGACCCAGAACAGAUGUCUGAGGAACACCUAUAGUUAGAGGAUGUGGUCUGGAAACAGAUCCCACAAAGGAAGCUGAGAACUAGCAGCCAGAUAGGAGAACCAGAAGAGGAUUGGUGUCCUGAAAACCUACAAAAAAGAGAAUUGAGUAGAAAAGGCUUCAGCCUACUAACACCCAACAGUGUAGAAGUCUGCAGAGAGGUCAAGGAGGAUGAAGAUUGAGGGAAAAGCCAUUGGAUUUGACUGGGGCCUUUAUAUCAAAGUUCGAGGUGAGUUAGACUAAAAGAUAGAGGCUGGUAGCCUCCUUGAGAACAAGAAGUUCUGCUCUUGAGAAAAUGAAAUGGCUUUUUUGAGGAAAAAAGCUCGAAGGAGGCUGGAGAGCUUUCCAUCCCUCUAUAGCCAACUCCACUCCAGGGCAGAGCAUUAAUCUCCACAGAGAGGAUCCCAUACCAGUGAGCUUUGGGUCAGGAUUACAUAUAGUUUCCAGGUUUGGACAUUUCCAGCUCCACAAUAUUUCUUACAACCAUGAUUUCUCUGCACUUGAUCUACGGCUCAAGCAAAUUGGCCUUCUACCUGAUCUUCCUUAAUCAAGGGGCUUUGAAUAUUUCAUAUGGAAGAAGAGAACAUGGUCUUUUCCUGACAUGUUGUGACCAAAAUGGUUAUUAUACUGAAAUUUGAUUUCAAAAGGAAAGAAUUAAGAACUCAUUACAACACAAACUGAGAUUUUCCUUUGACAUCUCAUCCUCCACUCUCAUCCCAUUCAAACUAAACUAUGCUUUCAUUGCAUUUCAAAAUAUGUGAAGGUUCAUUUCUGGUAAAUGUGAUCAGCAUGGAUGCCAUUUAAACAUAUAAAUGAGAAGAGAGAGCUUCAAGUCUUUCAGACUUGGACAUUGCCAACUCCACAAUAUCUUUUGCAUACAUGAUUUCCACACACUUUACUAAAAGCUCAAGCAAAUUCUGCCUCAUCUUGCCUUUUACAAAUCUCUGGACUCCUCCACCUCGUGUCUUGAACGAAUUCCAUUCUCACUUUUGCUCCCUAGAACACCAAUGUUCCCAAGUCUAAAGCUCAAAGUUCAAAUACCACAUUCCCAAUGUGGAAAAUCCUAAUCCCCCCAUAGGUUUUUCCUGACAUCUUGUGGCCAAAAUGGAUAUUGCCCCAUGCUGUGAUUUCAGGUCAAAGGAAAAAAUCUAGAACUCAUUUUAAAAUACUCAGAUAUAUCAAUCACUUUUCCUGUGACAUCUCAUAUCCCUCCCCUCCCCCAUCUAUGUUUACACUCUCAGUCCAAACUGUAGUUUGAUUGUAUUUUAUUGUAUUUAGGGUAUCUGAAAACUUGUUAAUGGCAAACUCAGUAGGAUAUUAAAACAAUAAUUAGGAUCUAUUUUGUCCAAGUGUAUGCCAGUAAACCUGACAAUUUAAGUGAGAUGCAUGAAUACUUACAAAAAUACAAACUGCCCAGAUUAACAGAAGAGGAUAUGAAUUACUUAAAUAUAUUUUAGAAAAAGAAAUUGAACAAGCUAUUAAUGAACUUUAGAAAAAAAUCUUGAAGGCCAGAUGGAUUUACAAGUGAAUUGUAUCAAACAUUUAAACAACAAUUAAAUCCCAUAUCAUGCAAAGUAUUUGGAAAAAUAGAAGGAGUCCUACCAAAUUCUUGUUAUGACACAGAUAUGGUGCUGAUGCCUAAACCAGGUAGGUUCAAAAUGAAGGAACUUAUUGACCAGUUUCCCUAAAGAAUGUUGGUGUAAAAAUCUUAAAAUAUUAGCAAAGAGAUUAUAGCAACUUAUCACCAGGAUAAUGAUACAUUCUAUUAUGCAUAUAUACAUUAUAUAUAUAUAUAUGUAUAUAUAUAUAUAUAUAUAUAUCACAUGUAAUGUGAUCAAUUAGGAUUUAUAGCACUGAUGCAGGACUGAUUCAGUAUUAGGAAAACUAUUAGCAGAAGUGAGUAUAUCAAUAACUAAAUUAAAAGAAAUAUUAUAUCCAUAGAUACAGAUAAAGCAUUUCGCAAAAUACAAUACCCAUUCCUAUUAAAAAUACUGGAGAACAUGUGCAAAAAUAUUUGUAGCGGCAUGGAACUGGAAACUGGGUGAAUGUUCAUCAGUUGGAGAAUGGCUGAAUAAGUUACCAUAUAUGAACUUUAUGGAAUAUUAUUGUUUUAUAAGAAAUGACCAGCAGGAUGAUUUCAGAAAGUCCUGGGAGACUUAGAUGAACUGAUAUUAAGUGAAGUGAGUAGAACCAACAGAACAUUGUACACAGCAGCAAUAAGAUUAUGUGAUGAUCAACUGUGACAGACUUGACUCUUUUCAACAAUGAAGUGAUUCAGGUCAAUUCCAAUAGACUUGUGAUGGAGAACCAUCUACAUCCAAAGAGUAGACCAUAGGGACAGAGUGUAGAUCAUAACAUAGUAUUUGUACCUUUUUUGUUUGCUUUUUGUUUUUUCUCAUUUUUCCCCUUUUUGAAUUGAUUUUUCUUGUGCAUCAUGAUAAUUGUGGAAAUAUGUAUAGAAGAAUUACAUACAUGUUUAACUGUAGUGGGCCAGAACUCUGGAGAAAUGUACUUGAAAUAAGGAUUCUUACAACAAGGUGUUAACUCAGUGGAAUUGAUAAGAUAAUGAUUAGUUUAGCAUGUGAGUUCUCUAGUUCACUAUGAUUGAUUUAAUCCUACAACAAGUUGUUAACUCAGUGGAAUUGAUAAGACAAUGGUUAUCUAGAUUACAUAUACUUAAUACUUAGCAUGGUGAUGUAAUAGUUUUACAGUUGAUGUAAUUGUAAAGAAGUAAAUUUAAACUAAUCUGGCUCAGGGUGGCUCUCCUGCCUCCUGCACUCUGGGAGAGACUGGUUCAGAGUGGGAGGUUCACCCACUCGUAUCACACUGUCUCCUUGAUGAAGGACUGCUGUGGGAGUACAUUUCUCCAGAGUUCUGGCCCAUUACAUUUAACAUAUUGGAUUACUUGCUGUUUAGGGGAGAGGGUGGGCAGAAGGGAGGGAGAAAAAAAAUUGGAACACAAGAUUUUCCAAGGGUGAAUGUUGAAAAUUAUUUUUGCAUUUAUUUUGAAAAUAAAAAGUUAUUAUUAAAAAAAAAACACUAAAGAACAUAGGAAUAAAUGGAGUUUCCCUUAAAAUGAUAAGUAGUAUCUGUUUAAAAGCACCAGCAAAUAUCAUAUGUCAUGGGGAUGAACAAGCAUUCCUAAUAAGAUCAGUGGUGAGAAAAGGUUGCAGGCUAUCACCAUUACUAUUCAAUAUUUAUUAGAAAUGUUUAGCUUUACAAUAAGAGAAGAAAUUGAAAGAAUUAAGAGUAGGUAAACAGGAAGCAAAAUUAUCACUCUGCAGAUGAUAUGAUGGUAUACUUAGAAAAUUCUAGAAAAUAAACUAAAAAACUACCAGAAACAAUUAACAAUUUUAGCAUAGUUGCAGGAUACACAGUAAAUCCACACAAAUCAUUGCUAUUUCCAUAUGUUACCAACAAAGUUCAUCAGCAAGAGAUAUAGAAAUGCCAUUUAAAAUAACUUAAUAAUAUAAAAUAUUUGGACAGACGUCGACCUGUCAAGACAAAGCCAGAACAUAAUUAUAAAACACUUUUCACAGUAAUAAAGUCAGAUGUAAAAAAUUGGAAGAAUAUUAAGUGUUCAUGGAUAAGCUUAGCUAAUAAUAAAAUAAUAAUUAUUAACUAAUAAUAAAAAUAAUAAUAAAAAGUGAUAGUUCUACUUAAAUUAAUUUAUUCACUGCCAAACCAAUCAAAGUGCCAAGAAAUUAAUUUAUAGAGGUAGAAAAAAAUAAUAUAAUUUAUCUGGAAGGAAAAAAAUGUUAAGAAUUUCAAGGCAAUUAAUGAAAAAAAAAUAUGCAAACGAUGGUGAAUGAUACCUAAAAUCAGGUAGAGUCAAAACAGAGAAGAAAAAUUAGAGAACAAUUUCCCCAAUGAAAAUUAAUGCAAAAAUCUUAAAUAAAAUAUUAGCAAAGAGAUUUCAGGAAGCUAUCCCCAGGAUAAUACACCAUGACCAAGUGGGAUUUGUACUAGGAAUGCAGGGCUGGUUCAAUAUCAGGAAAACUAUUAGCAAGAUUGACUAUGUCAGUAACCCAACUAGAAGAAAUCAUAUGAUAAUCUCAGUAGCUGCUGGAAAAGCAUUUGACAAAAUAAAACACUCAUUCCUAUUAAAGACUCUAGUUUUUAAUGUUUUCUGCUUUCAAUUCAUGGGUGAAUUCAUCCCAGGCCCAUUAGCAGUUUAUUAUGGUUACUGUGUCUUUGUCUCCAUCCUGUUUCCCUCCAUUUAUGCUGUUCUUGUUCUGGCUCUUUUUACCCUGUUCUUCAGAAGUAUUUUGCUUCUGACUACUGCUUCCCCCAUUCUGCCCUCCCUUUUACAUUCUCUUUUUCUCCUCCCUUCAUACUUCUCUGCAUGGUAGGAUAUAUUUAUAUAUCCAACUGCAUGUGUAUGUAACUCUGUCUUUGAGCCAAUUACAAGGAAAAAGAUUCAAGGGUAACCUGCCACCCUUCUCCUCAUCAUUUCCCCCUCCACUAAUGAAAAGUCUUUAUCUCUUUUACAUUUGAUAAUUUAUCCCAUGCUAUUUUGCCAUUCCCUCUUUACCUACCAUAUUUCUCUUUCUCACCCUUUAAUUUUAUUUUGGGGAUAUCAACCCAUUAUGCUCAACUCACAUUGAUGUGUAUGUGUACUUCCUCUGAUAGCCCUUUAAUGAUGAAGUUCUUAGGAGUUAUAAGUAUCCUCUUCCCAUGGCGGAAUGUAAAUGGUUUGACUUUAUUGAAUCUUUUACCUUUUUAUCCUUUUUGUUUAUUGAAUCCUGUUUACCUUUUUAUACUUCUCUUGAGUCUUGUACUUGACAGUCAAUUUUUUUAUUCAGUUCUGGUCUUUUAAUCAGGAUUUUUUAAAGUUCUCUAUUUUAUCAAAAAUCCAUUUACCCCCUCAAGGAUUAGACUCGGUUUUUCUAGGGAAGUGAGUUUUUAUUUUAAUCCUAACUCUUUUACCCUCCAAAAUAUCAUUCCAAUCCCUCCACCCCUUUAACAUGAAAUUUGCUAAAUCUUAUGUAAUCCUGAAUGUGGCUCCAUGAUUUUUAAAUUGUUUCUUUCUGCUGCUUGUAAUAUUUUCUCCUUAAUUUAGCAGCUAAAUUGGCUACAAUAUUAUUCACAGUUUUCAUUUAAAGAUAUCUUUCAGGAGAUGAGCAGUGGAUCUAUUUUACCCUCUUGUUCUAGGAUAUUAGAACAGUUUUCCUUGAUAAAUACUUGAAAAAAUUUAUGUCUAGGCUCUUUUAUUAUUGUAGCUUUCAGGUAGUCCAAUAAUUUUAAAAUUACCUCUUCUAUAUCUAUUUCACUGGUCAGUUAUUUUUCCAGUGAAAUACUGCACAUCUAGUUUUUCAUUCUUUUUAUUUUGUUUUACUGAUUUUUAAUAUUUCAUGGAGCAAAUAGCUUCUAUUUGUCCAAUUCUUAUUUUUAAGGAUUUAUUUUCUAUUGUCAGGUGCUGUGCCUUCUUUUUCACAU